CAUUUGUCAAUUUGAUAAUUUUGUCAUAUAAACACCCGAUGAAAAGGUUAAAACAUUUCUCUUUACAUUUCGGGGUAAGAAAGGAUUGUACAAACACGUGACUAGAAUUUUAACAGUAAAUGUCGAACGUGGAUAAUGAGUAUAAAAUGACACCGUACAGCUUACUUAUAGGACGAGCCAGUGACGUCAGGAGCACAAAAAAGGAGGGGGAUUUAGAAAAAGAUAUCAGGAAAAUAAACAUACAUACAUAAUAAAAAAUAUAGCAGGAAAGGUCUAGUCUCUAUGUUUUAUAAUAUGAUAGAUACAAAUUAUCUAGCGUUUGUUGGUCGCGUUAACAUUCCUGAUUUAUAAAUAGCAGGAUGAUUAUGAAUAAACAAAAGAACUCAAAUAAUGGGGACGACGACAAAGGUAUGCCUUCAUUUCAGCUAACAUUUCCGAGCUGGGGUGUUUUAGUAUGAAGUAACGAUCAUUGUACAUAUCACGUGUCAGCGGAUACAUAGAAUAUCUAGUCCCUUGUAUCACACUCAUGAUGCUGAUUCGGGGAUUUCUCUCAACAUUUAAUGUUCUGAACAUAUUUAACACUCAAAUAUCAUCUGUGAUCACUUCAAACUCUUCAUCUGUAUUACACAGUUAAAGUAUUAGGCUGGGCAAGUUUAUUGUUCAUUUACAAGACAUACCUCAGGGGCAGCUCGGAUUUGAUUUGGCCAAUGGUUUGUUGUUGAUGAUAGUCUGGUUUCUUGUCCGAACAAAGCAAUUUUGAAACCUAUACCAAUUUUCAUUACAAACUUCAGUCGAAUAUUUUUGACCUCCAAAUCAAGAUUGUCAACGGAUGCCUUCGCCAUUAUUUCUACUCCAGUCAUUAUCUUUCAGAUCACUUUCAUCUAGUUCAGAAAAUUGCAACAGUUCCAAAGUUUGAAAAUGAUAAUAAAAACAUGUGCAACUGUCAAUUACACAUAUGAGGCGGGUUAAGUAACGGGCUCCGCGCACCUUUUACAUGAUUGGCUCGGCGGAAACACCCGAGUGCAGGGGUGUUUUAGUUCUGUAUAGGUCUUUUACUACCAGACUAAUACACCGGACUAUAACACAGCUCAGCGAAAUCGAGGAAAAGUGGGAAUAUAGUAUAUUUUACCACCUAUAUAGAGUAAAUAAAGUAGGGGUACUUUAUAUUAAACCAAAAUAAUCAUUUUUUUCAUCCGUCCCGGCAAAACAAUUUACGAUCUGAAUAUCUAAACAUGCAUAAGAAUGGGAGUUGUUUCCCCUGGCUCACAUCGUUGUACUACCAUAUUUUUUAAUAGCGCCAUUUUGUCAGAUGUAGCUUACUGUUUCUGAUUUUAACCAGUAAGCGUGCAUCUUCUCCAUCAGACAUACGAUUUCUAUAAUGCCCAGAAUGAUGAUGAAACAUUGGGGUUUUAAUUCAUUUCCUUUAUAUCUACACAGAGUAAACGUGUACAUAGAUGACCACCACGAAAAGAUACUUAGGGAAUUAAGAAAAAUCCAUCUAUAGGGAUUUGUGACGCACAAAACAGAUGUCAUCAAUGAUGACAAAAUGCUUUUUACGAGAACUUAGUAUGCUACAUGGGCGAUCAGCGCGACUAAGUGAUAGAUUCGACCAUUGCUUGAGCCAUUUUCAUCCAGGAUAUUUACAAAGCAGAGAGAGUGGCUGGUGAUUUUUGUGAAUUGAUAUCUGUAUGUUUGUUCUUAUCCAAUUCCUGUUAGAGUGUUAUCCUUUGAAAGUGGACAAAUAUAUUUCGUUAAGAUCUUUGUGGCCACGCGUGAUAGAUACAGGUAGGGGAAAGUAAUGGUGUGAUGUUGCAUAGUCGUGUAUUGUAAGUUAGAUUGUGACCAAGGUUGCUGCCGCUUUAACUGUAACUGAAAAUCGAUGCCUAACACGACUUUCACUCCUUUCUAUCAGAGUAAUGAAACGCGAGCGGGAAAACGCCACUUCCGCUAGUUUAUUUACGCUCUCUAUUCUCCAUGGAUCGUAUUUCGUACCAAAUGACACGCGUUUCUACGACUGAAUAUACCAUCAAGUUAUUGAUUCUCCGAGACAAAACUUUUACUUACACUCUCAUCUAGCCGACAUUUAUGGAACUAUCUCGUUCUAAACUGAAAGGUUUAAGAAACGAUUCUUCAGCAGACGACAGUGUUUGAGCGAAAUCCCCUUCCUUCUGACGGAACACGAGUGGCCAUUUAAGAUAACCACUGAUCCCUACAUGGAAAGCAUGAGAAUAACACCAUCCGGUCGCCAAACUUUCGCGAACGUGCAUCUGCAUUAUGACACUAUUAUAUAAGUAUGGAUGUGUAAAACACGUGUGAUCUCUCACCAAGCAGUCCACAACAAUGAUUCAAGUGACUAGUAAAUUCUAACAAUUACUGA